rnacentral:rRNA from 1 species
AUGGUGCUGUCCGCAGUUCUUGCGUCAGCGGCCGCCACCGUCGUCAUAAUAUCUGUCGCGGUCUUCUACUUCUACAUGAGGUACAAGGCCCUGAAGAUGGAGCUGAAGCUGUCCGAGGCUCUUCGGCGACUUCCCGGCACGCCCAAGGAGUUCAAGUACGCCAUGAUCAGGAAAGCCACAAACAACUACGACGAGGCAAGGAAGCUAGGCAAAGGCGGGUCCGGCGCAGUGUACAGGGGAACGCUGCGCCUCCGGUCAGACAAGACGUGCCAGCUGGUGGACGUAGCUGUGAAGAAGUUCACGCGCAAUCGAGACCGCUGCUAUGAUGACUUCCUCGCUGAGGUCGACGUUAUCAACCGGCUGCGCCAUCGGAAUGUCGUGCCGCUCAUUGUUAUAUGA